ACCUGGGGCUCCAUCAUGCAGAAUGAAAAAUGAAAGGAUGACCACAGAAAUACAUGCACAGCCUUGCUUGGACACGUGUUGUACAGAGAGCAGUGCCACUCAGAACCUUAUACUGGGAUUUGAAAGAGAAGGGGACACCUGGAUCAGUUUUGAAGUGGAGCACAGUGUUACCAAAGAAGAAGUAAAAAUGUUUUGUUUAUAAAAAUAUAGAAUGGCCUGGUUUGAUGGGAUCUGAAAGAUCAUCUCAUUCCAACUCUCCUGCUGAAGGCAGGGACACCUUUCACUAGGUCAGGUUGCUCUGAGUUCAUUUCAACCUGGCCUUGAACACUUCAAG
rnacentral:lncRNA from 1 species